rnacentral:lncRNA from 1 species
UAAGGAUUAGGUUCGGGGCAGGGAUGAAUUAAAAUUAGGCCCAAAUCAAACUGAGCCCAACUAAUCGUCCCACAAAGUCUAGCAGUCCAUAGUUGAAGGGAAAUGGAUAUGGACCAGUCAACAAGCCCCGAUUGGGCCCAAUAUUUCCUUUUCAAAAAUAUGGAACUCUAAUAUUAAUGGAGAGAUAUCCCAAAGUAAAAAAAAAAAAAAAAAGCCAAUGAAUCAGGCACCCAUAAAAAAAAUGUUGACUAAUGAAUCCCUGACACCCCCCUCUUGGAAUUGGAGCAAAAAUAGCUCCACCACUCCAAGCUUGACGGCUCCCUCAUCAAAAAACUCAACACUUUCUUCUAGUCACCUCACUGACGUUGACAUGACUGAUGGUAACGCUAAAGAGCACACCCAUUCUUCAAAGCCCAUUAGAGCUACCAGUGAGAGCCAUAACACUCACUCUAUUGAACAACUCCCUUCUAUAGAGUGCAGUGGACAUGGAAAAUCUCAUGACACCAUCAACUAUGACGGUCU